UUUUACUGCCCAGGAGACUAGGACAGUAGCCCUAUUCUAAAUUAGUCCAUACGGGGAAUUAGCUCUUAGUAAAAAAAAUUUUAAAAAUAUUAAUAUAGGAUUAACAGCCGUUUGAAUGAUUGGAUGCAAAUUUUUAUAUGGGACUAAUUAAUUCAUGACUUUUUUUUUAAACCUAUAUUUUUUAUCAUUAAGAAGGGAAACACAUUGAUCAGAAUAACUCAGAAGCACGCAACGGAAUAAAAGGAGAAAGCAAAAAUCCUUGUUUCCAGCAUUUGUUAAAUAUUUGCCUUAAAGCCAACAGAGCACUAGUUAGAUGACAGGAUAGGAAGUUCUAUUAAUGAUGGGCUUUUCAUUACCAGAGAUAUGCUUUUGCAAUUUUCCUAGAUUUCUGCUCCCGGGUCGCACGAUUGCUCAAGUGCCAGCGAUUUUUAGAUGACUGAAAUAUCACCUUUGAAUCCCCUUACCAUUACAAGAAUAUUCACGAGGUAACCUGAAGGUACUUCUAACUUAGGAUGCUUCUCAGCCAUAUAACUUCCAUCUUCCCGGCUGCUGGAACCCAGUAAUAAUGAAGUCCAGGGAUAAAAUCAGAGUGACUAUCAGAGAUGAACACUACCAAGACUUGAGGAGAGUUCUGGAGUGCUCGGAGGACUUUUACUCUUAAACAGGCAAUCGGUUUGCAACUCCAUGAGGUGCAGGAGGCUGAGUGCAGCCCUGAGCUUGAAACUGCCUUUGUGAAAUUGUCUGACAUCCCAAAUACCCUUUUAUGUUUCAUUGAAACUGUAUUUAUUUACCGGGGGUAUGAAAUCAUGGGACAAACAUGGGCAUCU